rnacentral:lncRNA from 1 species
CAACUGUCUGCCGCGCCCUAAAGUCCUGCCUCAGUGAUUAGCUGUUAGGAGCUGGUCCCAGUUCUGCCCUUCCUAGCCGUGUGUCCUUGGACAAGUUGCUUUCAAGGCAUGGUCAAAAAAUAAGAUUUUUUUUAGGGCCCUGUUGCUCAUGACCAACAGGUAAAUUCUCAGGCCAAGGCCAAUGUCUCAAGAAAGAAAAUGUGCACUCUUCACGUCUUGGAAAAACUCUAAAUUCAACAGUUCAACAAAUAUUUAUUCUCUGUGUAUUGGGAAAGUCACUCCACCAGAGUUUAUAGAAAACUUCUUCAUCCACCAUGACAAUUCAGUCAUCACAGUAACUCCUCAAAGUGGAAAAGCCAGUACCAGUACCGCCAUUUUGCCAAAGUGUAAACCAAGGCUUAAGGAAGGCAAAUGGUUCGUCCUAAGUCACACACAAGUUCAAGUCUUUGAAAAGUUGGUAAAGGCUGAUUGGACUGUUAUACCUACUUUUUUAGAAGAUAGGAGAUAGGAGAAAAUAUUACCACAAUGAAAGGAGGAGAAAGCCCAAAGGAAAAAAUCUGUUUUUUAAAAAAUCGAGAACUUGUCAGCGUGAUACACAGCUCUGAAGAUUAGAGCAAAGCAAACCACAUGUAAAAAACGGAAAAAAGAUCCUGAAGGAGGAAAGUGAGAAUAGAAUGAUAAAUAAAGAAGCUACUGCAGCCAUCAAGGUGACAGAUGACAGCGGCUCACCGGGGAGGGGCAGAGUGGACAGAAAAGGAAAAGGGGAAUCACCAGGUUUCAGCUUUCAUCAUCCUCCAUCAACACCAGAACCAAAUCUGGGUGCAAAUGGGAAAACCCAGACUGAAUCUUAACCGUAG